GGUGGUGCACACCUGUAAUCCCAGCUACUCAGGAGGCUGAGGCAGGAGAAAUCACUUGAACCCAUGAGGCGGAGGUUGCAGUGAGCCGAGAUCACACCGUUGCACUCCAGCCUGAGUGACAGAGCCAGACUCCAUCUCCAAAAAAACCAACAUUGAACAUUUCAUGGAGAAGUCGCCAUCUUCUGAAGGUACUAGAUUCAACAGCCACUGUUCUUUGAACGACAGGUGCACUCCAAUUGAACAAGACAUGGAAACACAAGUAUUCUCGUCUUAGAUUCUUGUUUCAGUCCUACAACUCUUUAGCUCUGUGAACUUCACUAGUCACUAACUUCUUUCAGCAUGUCUCUCUGUAACACAGGAGACUGUAUCUUAAAAGCUUGGAUUAUUCACGCUUUUCUCUGUCUUCCCAUAGUACUCUUUUUCCUAUAUUCUUAUCACGUUUUACUGUUAUUAGCAUUAUAUAUA
rnacentral:lncRNA from 1 species